rnacentral:rRNA from 1 species
AUAAUAAUUAGUCUUUUAAAUGAAGGCUGGAAUGAAUGAUUGGACGAGGUAAAUUCUGUCUCAUUAAAAUUAAGAUUUAAAUUUAAUUUUUAAGUUAAAAAGCUUAAAUAUUAUUAAAGGACGAGACGACCCUAUAGAGCUUUAUAAUAAAUUAUUAAUAAUUUUUAAUUUUAUUUUAUUAAUUUAAUAUUAUUUUAUUGGGGCGAUAGGAAAAUUUAUUAAACUUUUUUAAUUUUAUUACAUUUAUUUAUGAAUUUUUGAUCCUAAA